GAGGACGAGCGUGGUCACAGAAGCUGGUCUGAGAUGUUCGAAAGGAGGUUGUCCGUGAUGUAUUUGCUUUGUUUAUGGCAGAUAUUGCACGGUUGAUCUCUUUUCAUCAUCAAAUGCCUUCUUGAAGGACCCGCGGCACGU
rnacentral:ncRNA from 3 species